GCCCAGCUGGCUCAGUCGGUAGAGCACGCGACUCCCGAUCUCGGGGUUGUGAGUUCAUGCCCUCAAGCCCCACACUGGGCA